GAGGUCUCCCCGCAGCGGCCAGUACAGACACUCUGUAUUCAGGAGAGGGUGGCCCAGGAGGAAGAGCAUGGGAUUUGGAGUCAGACAGAUCUGGUUUCAAAGGCUGGUCCCUCCAGCUCUAAGUUGUAUAACUGUGUAGACAACGAUCUGCGUUUCAGUUUUCACAUCAAUGAAUUAAGGCUGGCAACAAUCGUCUUAGGGGAAUUGUAAAAAGGAGAACAAGUGGGCGUUGGGUGGAUGGUUGGCUUCCUCUUCCUUUCCUAGGAGCGGGUGUGUCCACUCACUCAGGCCCUGGGCUUGUUCCUGGGGUACCACGUCCAGGUCCUCGUCUUCCUAUCGAUGUGGAAGAGACAGACGGCCAUGUGGAUAAUCAUGCUGACAUGUGGAAGGGGCGCAGCUGGAGCUGUUCACACAGUGCCACUCUAGGAUCAGAGGAGCUGGGGCAGGUGCGCCAGCCUUGUCCUGCAGCAGCAGGAUGGAGCCGGCCCUGGAUGGCCCAGGGUGGACUUGGAUGGAACAUUAGCAGCCUCUGGUCUCGGCCCCAGAUACCUCUCGCAGCCCCUGUGGCCUCUGCUUCCCUCAGCCUUCCCGAGCCCUGCCAUGGCCAAGGUCUGUUCUGGUGACACUCCUGCGUCCUCUGCACCCGAGUUUACUGAAACCCCCGUGACAUUCUGUACUCCUCACUCUCCCCCAUCCCUGCCCAGGUCUCUUGCACUGGGGCACGUCCUCCGUCUUAGCUCAGGAAGAAAUCACCAUAGAUUGGGUGGUUUGUAAACAGCAGGCAUUUAUUUCUCACAGUUUGGGAGGCUGGAAAAUUCUAGGUCAAGGUGCUUGCAGAUUCAGUGUCCUCACCUGGCAGGCACAGCCGGGGAUCUCUCUGGGGUCUGAUUUAGAGGGGCAUUGAUCCUCUGAGGGCAGGCCUCAAGACCUGACUGCUUCCCAGAGAGCCCACCUGCUGAUACCAGCACCUUGGGGGUUCAGUUUCAGUAUGUAAAUUGGGGAACACAAACUUUCAGUCUCCAGCUUCAUCUGAGGACCCCGGCUCUGCAUCCUGUAGGCCCGACCCCCAACCCCGCCAUCUCUG
rnacentral:lncRNA from 1 species